GAUAGAGAGAGGAAGAAAGAAAGAAAGGAAGAAGGAAGAAGAAAGUGAAGAGGAACCCCCCUAGAGCUUGAACAAGGGUGUGGAGUUUGUGGUAUUGAUCUUUUGUGUUCUUGAUUCUACAAUCAAGAGAGGCUCGUUGAAAAGAUUGUGAAAUUCUUAGCUUGGACCUGAGGUAGCAAAUAGGAUUUCUCUAUGGCACGCGUGGUGACGUGAGGAGUUCUUCAUCAUGGGGUGUAUGGCGUGGGGCAAUCCUAUGGACGAUAAAACGAUCAACGUAGAACGCCAUUUAAAUUAUGUUUUGUUUUAAGGGACUUUUCCUAAAUUAUCAGUGGGACUCUGUUAUUUAACUUAAUUGGUUUUCUUUGAACUUUGCAUAAAAACCUAUGUUUUA